rnacentral:rRNA from 1 species
GACGUAGGGGGCAAGCGUUGUUCGGAAUUAUUGGGCGUAAAGAGCUCGUAGGCGGUUCGUCACGUCGGCUGUGAAAACCUGAGGCUCAACCUCAGGCCUGCAGUCGAUACGGGCGGACUUGAGUACUGCAGGGGAGACUGGAAUUCCUGGUGUAGCGGUGAAAUGCGCAGAUAUCAGGAGGAACACCGGUGGCGAAGGCGGGUCUCUGGGCCGUAACUGACGCUGAGGAGCGAAAGCGUGGGGAGCGAACAGG